rnacentral:rRNA from 1 species
GAAUAUUGGACAAUGGGGGCAUCCCUGAUCCAGCCAUGCCGCGUGUGUGAAGAAGGCCUUAGGGUUGUAAAGCACUUUCAGUGGGGAGAAAAGUGGUUUGGUUAAUAACCGGAUCAAUUGAUGUUACCCACAGAAGAAGCACCGGCUAACUCCGUUCCAGCAGCCGCGGUAAUACGGAGGGUGCUAGCGUUAGUCGGAAUUACUGGGCGUAAAGCGCACGUAGGCGGUUUGAUAAGCCAGCUGUGAAAUCCCCGGGCUCAACCUGGGAAUUGCAGUUGGGAACUGGCAAGCUAGAGUAUGGUAGAGGGGUGUGGAAUUUCAGGUGUAGCGGUGAAAUGCGUAGAUAUCUGAAGGAACAUCAGUGGCGAAGGCGACACCCUGGAUCAAUACUGACGCUGAGGUGCGAAAGCGUGGGGAGCAAACAGG